rnacentral:tRNA from 1 species
UCCCGUGUGGCUCAGCUGGUAGAGCAUGGUGUUUGCAACGCCAGGGUUGUGGGUUCGAUAACCACGGGGG